UACGUAGGGUGCAAGCGUUGUCCGGAAUUAUUGGGCGUAAAGAGCUUGUAGGCGGUUUGUCGCGUCUGCUGUGAAAUUUCGGGGCUCAACCCCGAACUUGCAGUGGGUACGGGCAGACUAGAGUGUGGUAGGGGAGACUGGAAUUCCUGGUGUAGCGGUGAAAUGCGCAGAUAUCAGGAGGAACACCCGUGGCGAAAGCGGCUCUCUGGGACGGUACUGACGCUGAGACGCGAAAGCAUGGGGAGCGAACAGG
rnacentral:rRNA from 1 species